rnacentral:rRNA from 1 species
CGUAAAGCGCACGCAGGCGGUCUGUCAAGUCGGAUGUGAAAUCCCCGGGCUCAACCUGGGAACUGCAUUCGAAACUGGCAGGCUAGAGUCUUGUAGAGGGGGGUAGAAUUCCAGGUGUAGCGGUGAAAUGCGUAGAGAUCUGGAGGAAUACCGGUGGCGAAGGCGGCCCCCUGGACAAAGACUGACGCUCAGGUGCGAAAGCGUGGGGAGCAAACAGGAUUAGAUACCCUGGUAGUCCACGCCGUAAACGAUGUCGAUUUGGAGGUUGUGCCCUUGAGGCGUGGCUUCCGGAGCUAACGCGUUAAAUCGACCGCCUGGGGAGUACGGCCGCAAGGUUAAAACUCAAAUGAAUUGACGGGGGCCCGCACAAGCGGUGGAGCAUGUGGUUUAAUUCGAUGCAACGCGAAGAACCUUACCUGGUCUUGACAUCCACAGAACUUUCCAGAGAUGGAUUGGUGCCUUCGGGAACUGUGAGACAGGUGCUGCAUGGCUGUCGUCAGCUCGUGUUGUGAAAUGUUGGGUUAAGUCCCGCAACGAGCGCAACCCUUAUCCUUUGUUGCCAGCGGUCCGGCCGGGAACUCAAAGGAGACUGCCAGUGAUAAACUGGAGGAAGGUGGGGAUGACGUCAAGUCAUCAUGGCCCUUACGACCAGGGCUACACACGUGCUACAAUGGCAUAUACAAAGAGAAGCGACCUCGCGAGAGCAAGCGGACCUCAUAAAGUAUGUCGUAGUCCGGAUUGGAGUCUGCAACUCGACUCCAUGAAGUCGGAAUCGCUAGUAAUCGUAGAUCAGAAUGCUACGGUGAAUACGUUCCCGGGCCUUGUACACACCGCCCGUCACACCAUGGGAGUGGGUUGCAAAAGAAGUAGGUAGCUUAACCUUCGGGAGGGCGCUUACCACUUUGUGAUUCAUGACUGGGGUGAAGUCGUAACAAGGUAACCGUAGGGGAACCUGCGGUUGGAUCACCUCCUUACCUUAAAGAA